rnacentral:rRNA from 1 species
GACGACGCUGGCGGCGUGGAUUAGGCAUGCAAGUCGAACGGUAUCAUCCUUUCGGGGGUGAGAGAGUGGCGAACUGGUGAGUAACACGUAGGUUAUCUACCCUCAAGACGGGGACAACCCAGGGAAACUUGGGCUAAUACCGGAUGUGAGCAACUUUUAGUUGUUUGAAAGGUGGCGUAAGCUGUCGCUUGGGGAUGAGCCUGCGUCCUAUUAGUUAGUUGGUGAGGUAACGGCUCACCUAGGCAAUGAUAGGUAGGCGGCCUUAACGGGUGGUCGCCCACACUGGGAUUGAGAUACGGCCCAGACUCCUACGGGAGGCAGCAGUCGAGAAUAGUCUACAAUGGUCGGAAGACUGAUAGUGCGACGCCGCGUGAACGAUGAAUCCCUUCGGGGUGUAAAGUCUUUUAUAUGUGAGCAGUGCUUCUUAUAUUAACAGUAUGGGGAGAGAGAUAUUAGCAUAUGAAUAAGCAACGGCUAACUCCGUG